GUGAUUUGGUCAUAUUGAUAGGGUAUCCAUCCAAACAUGUUGGGUGUUAAAAGUUUCAACGUAUAGUCCGAAGCAACCCUUUCCACAGUAGUCACCAUGACAGGUGACCACCUGAGACGCCCAAAAAUGUGUGGUUUGUUGCCUUUUCUCACAAGCCUUUUUUUAUUUUGUUUGUGGCAGGAUUGUCGUACUCUCGUGACUCGGCAACGUCACGUCCACCGCGACGGUGGGCCUGGAGGAUUUUCGCUGUCUAGGGAGUGUUUGAGGUUGGGGCACGGCACGCCACAAUCGACUUUGCGUCGCGUCGUUGCGCGUUUUGCCGCUACGGUAUUUCAAAUGUCUUUCGCGGUUUUUUUAAUGCUGGCCAGCAUUUUUUCAUUCGUUUGUUUGUCGAAGGUUCGUAAAUGACGCCGCCGAUAAGCGCGUGUUUAUCUGACUAUGAAAUGUUAGUUUGACUCUAGUCAAUUAAACAAUUCUUUAUUAUUUUAUAUUAUGCGUGUGCCAUUUCCGAGUUAUGCAAACUGAGGAAUGUAACGAAUUUGUUACGUCAUGUCCAAAUCAGACCAAAUCUAUUCAAAGAUGGCGCCCGCCCGCCCUCGUUCCGUUACGCAACAAACAUUUGCGCGGGUUAUUUUCUCCCGUUUUGGACGCCGCAAACCUGGAUCAUCUGUCCAAUGUGAGCACUAAAAAAGGCUGCCCAGCCAGCAUCCUUCUAUACAAAGCAAGCAGGAGGCUCUUGAGGAGCCAUUUCAGUGAUGUUGAGGACACUGAGGAAGAGUAGUCCUAAAUCAGGCUGCAAGAGAAGCUGAAUGGGAUGAGGAAAAGUAUAAUUCCAUAUCCAAAGGAGCAAUGGCCUAUCCAAAGGAGCAAUGGCCUAUCCAAAGGAGCAAUGGCCUAUCCAAAGGAGCAAUGCCAUAUCCAUAGGAGCAAUGCCAUAUCCAUAGGAGCAAUGGCCUAAAAGGAGCAAUGCCAUAUCCAUAGGAGCAAUGGCCUAAAAGGAGCAAUGCCAUAUCCAAAGGAGCAAUGCCAUAUCCAAAGGAGCAAUGCCAUAUCCAAAGGAGCAAUGCCAUAUCCAAAGGAGCAAUGCCAUAUCCAAAGGAGCAAUGCCAUAUCAAGUCAAGAAUCAAGCAGCGCACUGCAAAAGUCGACGUGUGCGGAUCACGUGCCCAGGAGGGGGCAGUGUGGUUGCCUUUGGUUAUGGGUGCACGACGGAAAGGUUGCAGGUGUGGACAGUGUUUGGGGGUCUGAUGGUUGGUCUUGCUUAAGAGGUGUGCUGUGGUUGUGGUUAGUCUGGAGCCAGCAUUGUCUUGCGCUUGGUUGCCAUUGACGGCUCACUUGGGGGAGGACGUGGUUACGUGGAUGGAGACAAAAGUAAACUUUGACGUGGAUCCGAAUGUCCAAUUUUGCAAUUUGACUUGUGACAUUUUGUCUUUUUCUAACCUACCACUGUUGCACUUGCGUUCUUUUUUCACCCCUAGGUGUUGGAGCGAGGCAGUCACAUUUUGUCUUUUUCUAACCUACCACUGUCGUGCUUGAUCUAAGCCUAACGUACCACUGCGCGUCCUUUGUUCUCUAGGUGUAGGGGGGCGGUGUUGGGGCGAGCCGGUCCACGACGAAGACACAACAAUGCGAGCAGCGCCCAACUCAUUGCAUGUUCUGCCUUUUGCAGGCCGGACGCAAAAGGGGGGGCGGCGCACGGCCCGAUCCGACCCGGCGACGGUCACCAAGAGUAGCUAGCCGCUGUGAUCAAAUGGCGACCGGGACGCGACACCAUCUGAUCAGAGGUGGACGGACCGCUGUGGCAUCGCUCUGAAGUAGCCGAGUUCUGAGGGAGACCCGCUUCCCUGGAGGUGUCGACCUGCGCAGCUUCAACGUGUGAAAUGGAUUUUUUUUUUUUUUUUUAAAUUCACACCAGCGGUGUCCAAAUGUCUGUUUGAGGGCUGCAUACUGAAACAAAUUCAGAAUUCUUUGACACAAAUUCAUUAAAUCAAUCACGGAAUUUUGCCAUUCAUAUUUUGUGCUACUGCUACAAAGCGGUGUUGUGUUCAUUCAUGUGGUGUGUUGAUAAAGUUGCCCCGAGGCUGCCAUUUGGACACCAAUGGUGACAUGUGUAGGGCUGCACGUGUAUUGGAAAACUGCCACAUGGUGGUAUAGGUUAUUGACAUGCACUUUAAGAAAGCUUUUAAGAUUUUUUUUUAAUGUGGCAAAUGAAACCUGUUUUCUUGCCUAACUAUUUGUAAUGAGUUUAGAAGAUAAGUCAUUGAUGCAAGUUAAAGUUAACUAAUCUAACUGAUCUCAUUGCGAUCAAAUAGUUCACCUCCAUCCCAGAAUUUUGCACAACUUUGCUCAAUGCAACAGUCUGGCCCAAUACUGCCAUAUCACUGAUUUUCCAAAAUGUUGUGCAGCCCUGAUUGAGUGCCAAACGCGCAGCGGCGGCAAGCGACCGCGCAAGCGACCGCGCAAGCGACCGCGCAAGCGACCGCGCAAGCGACCGCGCAAGCGACGGCAAGCGCAAGCGACGGCAAGCGCAAGCGACGGCACGCGCAAGCGACGGCAAGCGCAAGCGACGGCAAGCGCAAGCGACGGCAAGCGCAAGCGACGGCAAGCGCAAGCGACGGCAAGCGCAAGCGACGGCACGCGCAAGCGACGGCACGCGCAAGCGACGGCACGCGCAAGCGACGGCACGCGCAAGCGACGGCACGCGCAAGCGACGGCACGCGCAAGCGAGACAUUUGUGCUUGUCUUGCAAGGUGGAAGAGACGAUGCACGAAACGAAGAGCCGGCGGACGGAGGCCACCAGACCAGUGAGCAGGGUGCAAAGGAAGGAAUCACCCAAAGAAAGCAGUUGCCAAGUGAUGAAGAGGAGCCUGACGCAUGACUGGCCAAGGCUGGCCAGAGGUGACAUGGCAAUCCAAUAUGCAAGGGUAGUGUACACACUUGUUGGUUUUAAUUUAGUUUCCUUAUUUGUCUGCCUUUCAGGGUUGCCGGGGCAGCGGAUGGGACGAGCGCCAGCCUGCACCGAGAGGUACCGGGCCGCACCCACAAGACCAGGGAGGGGGCAGGAUUGCCGGGGCAGCGGACCGGACGAGUGCCUGCACCGAGAGGGACCGGACUGGACCGCGAGACCAGAGGUUGCGCGAGGCGGAGGAUGAGUGCAAACGUCGAGUACCGGCCGGGAGGGGACCCGAACCAUCGGCCGGCCGGCCGACCUUCGCCCGUGACGAGCGGCCUACAACAGACGGACGCACGGGUGCAGAUGCGGCGAGGGCAAAGUGCCCAGCCAGCAUUUAAGGAGAGUAUCACUUUGUUUUUCCUUUGGUGCUUUCUUUCUUGCCCUCCCUCCCUCCCUCCCUCCCUCCCUCCCUCCACUUUUUCACUGGGUGUGCACACUGGCUGUCUGCAUGAUGCCUCUUUCUUUCUCAGCGCAGCGUCAUUUUGCAAUAUUGUUUUAUUGUUGUGUUUUUUAAUACAUGAAGAACUGUUUGGACUGUCAUUGUGUGUGUGUGUGUACCUCUGAACCUGAAUUAAACUGUGAACUGAAUUCAAGUGGUCCAUUUUAAACAUUGGCAUUCUAUCAUUCAUAAAAACUGGAAUCAUUUGAGACAUUCUCAAUGAUAAGGCAAUUGUAAAGUUAGUCUCAAACAAAAUUGUCUUGUUAAAUAUGCACUGUCAGGCUUUUUAUUUUUACUACACAAAGAAAAGCUGUAUGCAUUCUAAAUUGUUGACAAAAGCCAAGUAGCCUGACACCCAUAGAUUCGAACGACAAGCUUAAGCCUACGAACAGUCCCCGUUGCGAUCAAUAAGUCUUCUUUGGCAACCCUGCUUUAAAAUGGCCACCGAACUCACAAUCUUGCUUUAUGUUGGUGCAUUUUUCUGUACGAGUAAAAGUCUAUUUUAAUCAAGUCUGAGGCUUUUUUUUUUUUUAAAUCAUGCAUCAUGUGGGCAUUCUUGUGAAUAAAGUCCACGUUGGUGUGUUUUCUUCCUGUUUGUGGUCUUGUAAAUAAAGUCAACUUUGGUGUCAGUCAUCA